AGACGUGAAACCCCACCAGCGAAUCUCAAAAAAAGGGAAAAAAAAAUCACCAGCGCCGUCCACUGCUGCGAGCCUGCGAGCGUGUCCCGAUCAGGCCAAUCAGAACCUCCAAGGAGAAAUCAACGGCUCAUAAGCAUCGGCAUCUGCAGAUCAAACGGAGCUGGUUCACCAUAGUGGGCUCUAGCCGCUCUACACCGGCUCGAUCUCCUCAUAUUACGGGCGUACCGUGCGCCCAUGCGCGACGCGUGGCACGCGCUCGCCAGGUCGACGGACCAGAGCCGAUGUGAGCCGCCCACGUGGCACGCCUACGUGCAGGCUGAUGCAGCGUCGCGGUUGUUGCGAGCCUAUGGACCCGGUCCACGAGAGGAUACGUGUAACACCCCCUCCCCUCUUGCCCUGUCCCCUUCCUCCACCGAUGAAAAGAAAACAGAAGCUUCUCUUCCCCUCUCCCCCAAAACAAAAGCAUCAAAAUAUUCCUCCUAAAUCAAAAGAAAAACAAUCAAUUUCAAACGAGCCAUCUCUCUCCAUUCUCGUGCCCCUCCUGUCUCCGCGCAUUCCUCCGCCGGAAACCCUGGUUCAUCGGCGAGCGGCGAGGCUCGGGGACUCGAUUACCCUGCGAGGAAUCGAGGUCGGACCGCGGGUGGGGAAGGCGAAGAUGGCGGGGUCCAUCGAUCGGCCCUCAGGUGCAGGUUUUGAAGGCAUUGUGCAUGAUGAUGAUAAGAAAGAGUGGAAAUCCGAUGAGGACAACUCAGAAGGUGACAAAAAGGCCAAGGCAGUCUCCUUCAAGAACCGAGCUAUCAGUGCUGGAAAUAAAUUUAGGCGUUCCUUGAGAAGGAAGAGAAGAAGGAGGGUCGGCGACCAUGUAGCCUCUAUAGAGGACAUAAGGGAUGUCAAGGAGCUGGAAGCUGUCCAAAGAUUUCACCAGUGCUUACAUGAUGAGGGCUUGUUGCCAGAACGUCAUGAUGAUUAUCACGUGAUGUUGAGGUUCCUGAAAGCGCGAAAAUUUGAUAUUGAUAAAGCAAAACAUAUGUGGUCGGAAAUGCUUAGAUGGAGGAAGGAGUUCGGGGCUGACAACAUAGAGGAAUUUGACUAUAGCGAAUUAGAUGAUGUUCUGGAGUGCUAUCCACAAUUUUACCAUGGUGUGGAUAAAGAGGGAAGGCCUGUCUACAUAGAACUAAUUGGAAAAGUUGAUCCCAACAAAUUAGUACAAGUCACAACUAUUGACAGAUAUGUAAAGUAUCAUGUCAAGGAGUCCGAGAAGUGCUUGCAGAUGAGGUUUCCAGCUUGCUCCAUUGCUGCAAAAAGGCACAUAGAUUCGUGCAGUACUAUCUUGGAUGUGCAAGGAGUGGGUUUGAAGAACUUCUCAAAAGAUGCAAGAGAGCUAAUCAUGCGACUUCAGAAGAUCAACAAUGACAACUAUCCAGAGACCUUGCACCGAUUGUACAUUAUAAAUGCUGGCCAAGGCUUCAAGAUGUUAUGGGGUACAAUAAAAUCAUUUCUUGAUCCACAAACUGCUUCGAAGAUUCAUGUCCUUGGAAGCAAAUACCAAAAUAAGCUACUUGAAACUAUUGAUGAGAGUGAACUUCCAGAUUUUCUGGGUGGCAAAUGCAGGUGUGAAGAACAUGGAGGUUGCAUAAAAUCAGAUAAAGGUCCUUGGAAGGAUCCUGACAUAAUAAAGAGGGUCCUUAAUGGUGAAGCAAACUAUGGACGGAAAAUUCUUGCUAUAUCAAGCGUUGAUGGGAAGAAAAUAUGUUAUAUUAACCCUAGACACUUAACUAAAAAAUGCAGCGAUGCCUCUGCUGAGUCUAGUUCUGAAAUGGAAGAUGUUUCAUCUCCUAUAGCUUCAGUUAACCCCAUCAUAAACCCUCAUUUGACACCCGUUGACGAGUCCAAAUUGCCGGGAAAUACUUCCACAUCUGGUGCCCCUCCCAGAGUAGAGGACAUCCCUGUUGUUGACAAGGCUGUGGACACAUGCGCCGGUCCAUCAACCAGCUCAAUGGCUUUUAAUUCAGAUUCGUUCUCGUUGAGAAACAUAACGAUGGAACUGGGAGGACUUCGAAAUCGAAUUACUGCGUGGUUGAUAGUCUUAAUCGUGAGCUUUGUUGCCGUGCUUCGUUCUGUCCCAAGCAGAGUGACUGCAAGUCUAUCAAGCCAGGCCAUUUCCCGUGAAAACAGUACACAUUCGUCUGUAUUGAGACGUCUUGGUGAAUUGGAGGAGAAAUUACAGGAGCUUGAAGCAAAGCAAUCUCAAAUGCCACCGGAUAGAGAGGAAUUGCUCAAUGGAGCCAUUCACCGUGUUGAUGCAUUGGAAGCCGAGCUAAUAUCUACAAAGAAGGUACUGUUGAGUCUUGACAUAUCAUAUGCACUCUGUGGGUGUGCAUGUGUGACAAGGAAGAUGUACUCUCGUUAGAUAGCUUAUUGCUUAGUGGUAUCAAGGAUAUAACUACUGUUCUGAGAUGCUUUAUGAUGCAUUGAUGAGGCUGGACGAACUGCUUGCAUACGCCGACCAGCAAAAGAAUAUUCAAUUUCGGAAAAAGAGGUUCUGCUUCUAAGUACCAGAGUGGCUUGCUUGCUUUUCUCCUCGAAGGUUUCGUGUUCUUCUGUCAACUGAAUACUUGUAAGUUGGACUCUUUGUCCAAUUUUAAAACUGUGAAUAUUUUGUUCAGCCGUGUAUCUCUGAAUAUUAAAGAAAGAAAGAAAGGUGGGUGGUCACUUUGCCACCUAUUUGACUUAAUAGGCUUAGGUGUAUUUCUAAAUUUUGCAAGGUGCGGCGUGUAGUUCAGAGAAAUAAAGGGUGUAACAUGUAGAAUUGAUAUCUUGUUUUCAUGAUCGAUUGAGAUGUUAUGAUAUAUUAGUCAAACGUUCAUAAACAAAAUGUAAAAACUAGUAGCCUGGAGAAGUAUCCCAAGUAGGUCUUUCAGUGCAAAACUAUAUUGGAGGGGCUUCUUCUCUGUCUCCACUGGAUAGCGUCGGUGAGCGAAGACACUAGGGACUGGAAAUUGUCAGAUCUGAAUCGAUGGGGAUUCGGCCGAUUUUAGGGACAUAGUGACGAAUGAAAUAUGGAUGAGAGUUGUGUAUCAAGAUCAAGACGGUGCGGUUUUUUGGCGCAGCAGGGUACGUGAAGCGGGCGGUUUUUUAGCGCGACAGGGUUCGUGAGGCAGCUAAAGAUCGAAGCUUAGUCUUCUCGUCUUUUCUUUGCUAUAUUCUGUUGCUUCUUAGUUUUGGGGCCUGAAUUUUUUUAUCCAUGUAACUUUUGGCUGUGGAUAUAGAUGCCGAAUUUCUAUUCAUCUACUUAAAAGAAAAACUAUCCUCUCAGUGUCAAAA